CUUCAGGUUAUCUCUGCAUAGCCUCACGCUCUGAUGCUAAUCUUAUUAGCCUUCCUACACAACCACGAUGCCUUGAGGAUCAGUUUGUUCACCAACUCGAGCUUUUCCUCAUAAACCACGAGAAAACCGUGGACAUCGUGGUGGUGCUUCAGUUCAUCUGAGUCUCCUGCAUCGUCAAGGGGAUCUCCUGAGCACUAAGAGCUGAUGAUCUGGUCAGACCAGUCCCUUGCUUUUACAUCUCUGGCAGAUGACGAGUGACUGAGAUGGAGAAGCUGCCACAGCUGAAGACUACCUAGUGAUUUUUGCUUAAGAAUGUUUUAUGCAAUGGUCAUAAAUAAAUUGAUAUUUUGUAAA